AGUGAACGCUGGCGGUAGGCCUAACACAUGCAAGUCGAACGGCAGCACAGUAAGAGCUUGCUCUUACGGGUGGCGAGUGGCGGACGGGUGAGGAAUACAUCGGAAUCUACUUUUUCGUGGGGGAUAACGUAGGGAAACUUACGCUAAUACCGCAUACGACCUACGGGUGAAAGCAGUGGAUCUUCGGACCUUUCGCGAUUGAAUGAGCCGAUGUCGGAUUAGCUAGUUGGCGGGGUAAAGGCCCACCAAGGCGACGAUCCGUAGCUGGUCUGAGAGGAUGCUCAGCCACACUGAAGCUGAGACACGGUCCAGACUCCUGCGAGAGGCAGCAGUGGGGAUUAUUGGACGAUGGGAGCAAGCCUGAUCCAGCCAUACCGCGUGGGUAAAGAAGUCCUUCGGGUUGUACAGCCCUUGUGUUGGGAAAGAAAAGCAGCAGGCUAAUCCACCGCUGUUAUGACGGUACCCAAAGAAUAAGCACCGGCUAACUUCGUG
rnacentral:rRNA from 1 species